UAAGACAAGUAAGUCUUACUUUUGAGAUCAGUUUUUUCUUAAAUGAUUAAAAUUUUCAUUUAUACCCUUACAAAUUAAAUAUAUUAUUGCUAAAUUAGACAUACAUUCAGAUUCUAACUUUCAUACAUACCUUUUUACAUAAAUUUGAAUAAAAAUAAAAAAAAAUAAUUUUUUUUGAACUUCCCUCCAAAAAUUUUCGCUACCGCGCCAAAAUGGCUCAGCCACAAUUAAAGUCACUUUAAAAAUACAUAUAAAAAAAAUAAAAAAGCCCUCAGGCGAUAUACGAAGCACAUCAAUUGUAUCGAUCGGAUAGGGAUUCCUGCGUCCUAUGAGAGAGGUCUCCUAUUCGUUCCUAUUUAAUUCGUUCCAAAAAAAGCUUCUAUUCACGUCAAAAAUAGGGAUCCAUUUUUGAUCUCGUUGAAAACUUCUGAUGAUGACCCCGUUAAUGGAGAUCAUGGGGCUGGUCAGGUAUGGGGUCUUUUUCUGGGGAAAAAAUGGAAACGACGACCUUGCCUCUCUUUAUGGGGCCAUGUCCACUUAAUCAAUUCUUUCUGUUGGCGUUUCGGGGUGAAGAAGUGAGCAGCGAGUGGAGCAUGGACGAAGGACUCAUCUGAUGCAAUUUUGAGGUGAGCUGAGCCAGAGGAGUCAAAAAACAGAUUUUUGGAUGAGCUCAUGCUACAAGACUUGAAGCUCUUUUUGUUUAAGAUGGUUUAAGUAGUGUACGUCUACGUCUUAGAACCCUUUGUUUAGGAAUCUAUAGCUCAUUUUUGUCUAAGAUCUUGAAACAAUUUAUUUAAGAUAAUAGCUUGCUUUGGUCCAAAUUAUUGGAGUUGAAAUUGUUUUAGAUGUUAAGAUUCAUUUUUUUUUACGCGAUGAGCUUUAUUAUUUAUGUUGUAAACAAUACAUUUUUUGGUUGGUGUAACUUAUGCAAUAUCAAGUAUUUAUUUGUUUGCAUAAUCGUGUUGAUGUGAUAAUUUUAUUUAUUUAUUUAUUUAUAUUAUUUCUUUUGUUUAUAAUGUUAA